rnacentral:rRNA from 1 species
UACGUAGGUGGCAAGCGUUGUCCGGAUUUAUUGGGCGUAAAGGGAACGCAGGCGGUCUUUUAAGUCUGAUGUGAAAGCCUUCGGCUUAACCGGAGUAGUGCAUUGGAAACUGGGAGACUUGAGUGCAGAAGAGGAGAGUGGAACUCCAUGUGUAGCGGUGAAAUGCGUAGAUAUAUGGAAGAACGCCAGUGGCGAAAGCGGCUCUCUGGUCUGUAACUGACGCUGAGGUUCGAAAGCGUGGGUAGCAAACAGG